GACUUUGAGUGAAUGGAUAACGCGUCUGCCUACGGAGCAGAAGAUUGUAGGUUCGAAUCCUGCCAGGAUCG
rnacentral:tRNA from 1 species